AGGACGAACGCUGGCGGCGCGCUUAACACAUGCAAGUCGAGCGAGAACCAGCUCUUCGGAGCUGGGGACAGCGGCGAACGGGUGAGUAACACGUGGGUAAUCUGCCCUCGGUUCUGGGAUAGGCCCGGGGAAACCCGGAUUAAAUACCGGAUGGCCUCUCGUGCUUUCGGGCGUGAGAGAAAAGGUGCCUUCGGCCUCCGACCGAGGAUGAGCCCGCGGCGGAUUAGCUUGGUGGCGGGUACGCCCAACAAGGCAGCAAGUCCGUAGCUCGUCUGGAGAGGACGAU
rnacentral:rRNA from 1 species